rnacentral:lncRNA from 1 species
UUUUAUUCAUAUUGUUAUUUCCCAAGGCAGAGUUUUCUAAUUUUUGUUGCUAUUACUAUGAUGAGGACAUUUUUAAUUUAUAGGUUUGUUUUGUAUUUGUUGUACUAAGAGGAAUCAUCUUUAGAAUGCUUAUGUUCCAUGUAAUGUGAGUGCCAUGUGUUUGAGAGAGAAAAGAAGAAGAGGAAAAGAAGAGGAGGAAGAAAGGAGAGCAUAGAUCAGGAGGAAGAAAAGGAGGUUAAAGUUGUCAAAAUUAAGGUAUAGGUUAAAGAAUUUUAAUGAGUAUAUGUUAAAUAAGAAAGAUCAAAUAAGUCGCUCAGUACAAGUUUUACAAUUUUAGGAUGUCCAUGUUCUUUCAAGCCAAUUCAACCAACCUGAGCUCAGUCUCCCUUAGCCCCUAAACCCAGACCCAUCGACCCGCCCCAAGACCCGCCUAACCCGUAGCCCAGUUCCACAACCCGCCUACUUGAACCAUCUGCCCGACCCAACUCUCUUUAAAUCCUAGCCUUUUGUUUCAUUUAUAAUUCUCAAAACCCUAAGCCUAAUAUCCUUAGUCAGUUGCACCCUGCCCUCUCCAAAACUCCGCCGCCGCCUACCACCCAAACCGCCGAAAAUUCCCAAAAAUCUAACCACCAACGUCGUCCCCUCCCCCUUGUCCAUGUGGCAUGAGACAUAACGACCCGAAUAUUCCCCAUUCUCUCAUCCUCGUCUCUCAGGUGAUUGAAGCCUCAAGAAGGUAUGUGCUAGAUGAAUGCAGAGUGUGGGAUUGAUUUCAAUUGAUCCCAGCCCUUCGUUCAUCAGGUGUUUGACUGACACAAGGGGGUUUUCCUAGUUAUUUCAUAUAUAAAAAUUGCAAGCUUCUUCAGUUUCUUUUUUACUUCAAAAAAUCAGAAAACAAAAAGAGAUUUCAGUUUCUCUUCUCUUUGAUUUUUGGUUUCAAAAAUGGAUUUCGCUUGAGGUAUUGAGAUUUGGUUCGAGUUCGUCGCCGUCGAGGUUCGGGCUCGUUGUUUCGGUUCGUGUUGCUGGAGUUUGUUUGACAUUUUUUUUGUGCCUCCUGUUGCUGCCUUCAUGUACAUCAAUUUUCAGAUAGCAAAUUAAUUAAAAUCUCAUUUUCAGGUCCAAUUCUAAUAUCUCUUGCCUUAUUUUGUGGUGAUCAAAUUAUGAUGGGAGCCUAGGAUCAAAUAAUAGAACUAGAGUGUUAGUAGAGGAAGAUUUUUUUAGGACUUUGAUGAAAAUCGGCAUGUUUCUUAGGUUCAAAUGAAAUCACUUCCAUGCCUUCUUGUUACUAUAGUUUCAUUUCGCUCCUCCCUAUUUGUUGGUGAUAAUGUCUGAUUGUUCAUGCGCAUAUAUGUUCUUGAUUGCUAAAGUUUGAAGGUUCUCGUUGUUGGUUUAGCUACAGUAAAUGCAAGAUCGUGCCUUUAGUGCUAUCAUGACUCGUGCUUCGCUACUAAGGCAUUUUAAUCUCAUCCAGUUAAUUGGCCAAAUUGAUCCUAGCUAGCAAUUAUUAAAAGGGUGUCAAAUAGAAGUUUAUGGUAUUUAUUUGGUGCACUUUUCUCUCGGCGACAUGAACGAUUAAUGUGGAUUUUGGACUAAAAUCUUGAAAUGUUAGCUAGUGAUCAUGUUUUUGUGAUAACCUUUCCAUGUCUUAUAACUCUGUUUCCAUAAAUGAGAUUUGAGUUAAAAUUGGUUAAAGUUUCCUGUUUGGAGUGUUCUGAUCAUCAUUUGUUUAGUUGUUUCAAUCCAUGACCUUGAGGCAUGUUGAGAUCCAUGGUUUAAAUCCAUCUUGUUUGCUUAAGGGGAUUCUGUUGGAUACUAUCACGACCCAAAAUCCAUUAAAAGUCGUGAUGGCGCUUAACACCGAUGUCAGGCAAGCCAACAAUAAUUUAUUUAACUUAAUUACUCAUUUUAGUAUUUGAAAUCGUAAUUUCCUUCAACUAAAUAGUAAAAAUAAAAUUUACAGGGUAAUUGAUAAUAUUUCCCAACUACUACUGAACAACUCAUAAGUACCCCCAAAACCCGGUGUUACAAGUACAUGAGCAUCAACUAGGAAGAUAAAAUAAAAUACAACAUCUGUCUCGAAUACAAAUUAGACAGAAAACUAUAAAUAACUCUGAAGGAGACUCUGCUGACAGCGGAAUGUAAUAUGGAAUGCAGCUCACCUAAGUCCCCACAAUAACCACGCCUCUGCGCUCACAAGGCCACUAGGCAUAUAUGUACCUACACAAAAAUGUGCAGCAAGUGUAGUAUGAGUACGUAAAACAAGCGUAUCCAAUAAGUAUCCAGUCUAACCUCGAAUAAAUAGUGAUGAGGGUUCGACUUCGACACUUACUAUGUGCUAACUAUAAAAGUGCCAAUAUUAUAUUUAAGCAUGGAAUACAUAACACAGCUGAAAAUUCAAUAUCCAGAAAUAAUCAACAAAUCUUUUUUUACUAGUAGAAAUUCCCAAAUUCCUUUUCGUCAUUAAACAAUUUAUAUCUCAAGCCAAUAAAGCAACAUCAAUUAUUAUUAGUUCCAAAGAGUUAUCAUGCGCAAGUCAUGCCAAGAUCGUACGGCCCGAUCCAACAUAUAAAUAUAAAUUGUCCACUGCCGAGAGUCGAACGGUACGAACCAUAGAUGCGUCAAUUUAACCUGCCAAGGCGAAUGGCCCGCUCCUAUGAGAGUAGUGUAAAUUUACCCUGCUCGCGGAAUAUAUUUGAGACGCGGUUGAACAUAGAUUUCUCAAGUUAUUAUAAUAUUCCUCAAUUCUUUUCAAAAUACGAAAUUUAAAUGAAAACUUUCAAAUCUUGAAAUCCUUAAUUUCAACUCUUCUCAAGGCAAUUAAUAAGCAUGCUUGAUCACAAUUCUUUUCAAGAAAAAUAAUAAACAUAAUCAAAUAAUGGUAUCAACAAGGCAUGGUGUAAACCUAAAACUACCCGGACAUAGACAUAAUAGUAGCUACGCACGGACACUCGUCACCUCGUGCGUACGUAGUCCCCACAAAUAGAAGCACAUAUUAAAUCAAUUCACCUAUGGGGUUAAUUCCCUCUUACAAGAUUAGAAAAGAGACUUACCUCGCUCCGAAGUUCCAUAGGCGGCUCUCAAGCCUUCCAAACAACUCAACCCGUUGCCCAACGCUCCAAAACUAGUCAAUAAUAGUGCAAAUCCAUAAAUAUAUACUAUAAUACUCAUUAUAAUCCAAUUUACAAUAAUUUCCAACUCCAUUCGAAAAGUCGAUAAAAAUCACCCUAGGGCUCACGUGCCCGGAUUCUGGAAAUUUUUCGAAGAUAAACUUUACCCAUAACACCACGAACUCAAAUAUAUAAUUUAUUCCAAAUUCCAUGUCCAAUUUCGUGGUCAAAAUCCAAAAAAAUAAAUUUCUAAGUUUUUCUUCAAAAUCCCAAAUUUCUAUAAAUUUUCAUGCCUAAAUCCAUGUAUAAACCUUGUAUGUAGCUCACAACUAGUAGAAAUUACUUACCUCAUGCUUGAUGAUGAAAAUGACACUCAAAAAUCGGCUCCCAUGGAAGAAGUGCAGUGAAAAUGAGUCAAACCCUCGUUUUAAAGAAGCACACUGCCUAGCCCGACCUUCCCACCUGCAGUCCAAUAGCCGCUCCUGCGGCUCCGCACCUACGGAAAUGCUCCACCUGUGGCUCUAUCUCAACCAGCAGCUUCCGCAUUUGUGGGCAAAAUAGUGUUUCUGCGCUUCCGCUUCUGCGAUAUCCCGUCCGCAUCUACGCCUUCGCAGGUGCGAACAUUCCCUUGCACCUGCGCUCCUACCCAACAUACCUUCUACGACCCUUCCUGUUCGUUUUUGCAGCUCCGCACCUGCGGCCAAAACCUCGCAGGUGCGGUUACACCAGAUGACAGAAGCUCCAGCAUUGCUCCAAGCCCAAACUCCGAUCGCUUACCAUCCGGAAUCCACCCGAGGCCCUCGGGACCUCAACCAAUUGAACCAAAACGUCCCAAAAUACUUUAUGAACUUAGUCGAUCCUUCAAAUCACAUCAAACAACAUCAAAAUAAUGAAUCGCACCCCAAUUCAAGCUUAAUGAACUUUUGAACUUCAAACUUCUACAUUCGACGUCGAAACCUAUCAAAUCAUGUUCGAUUGACCUCAAAUUUUGCACACAAGUCACAUUCGACAUUACGGUCCGACUCCAACUUCUGAAAAUCGUAAUCCAACCCCGAUAUCAAAAAGUUCACUCUCGGUCAAACUUCCCAAAAACCUUCAACUUUCUAACUUUUGCCAAAUGACCCCGAAAUGACCUACGGACCUCCAAAUCUACAUCUGGACGCACUCCCAAUACCAAAAUUACCAUACGGAGCUAUUCCCAAACUCGGAAUCCCAAUGGACAUCGAUAAUAUUGAAAUGCCCUUUAGCCCAAAUUUAUAAAAUUCUUCCAAAAUGCCAACUUCCAUAAUAGGUGCUGAAAGGUUGUCGGGUCAUCCAAACCGAUCCGGACAUACGCUCAAGUCCAAAAUCAUCAUAUGAACCUGCUGGAACCUUCAAAUCUCGAUUUCGAGGUUGCUUACUGAAAUCCAACCUUAGUCAAUUCUUCCAACCUAAAGCUUCCGAAAUGAGAUUUUUUUUCCCUUCCAAAUCAACUCUGAACUUCCCAAAAUUUAAUUCUGACCAUUGUGAGCACGUGAUUUUUGCCCUAAAUGAAUUAAUCCCAUAAAUUCAAAACAAAAUAAUUUCUUUCAGUGUUUGCAAUUUUGUGGAUUUUCGUGGCAUUUUCUGUUAAUUGUUUGUAUUUUUGUUUGUGCAUUUUAAUUAGUGAAAAUACAAAAAAAAAUGUGUUGCAUGUGCAUUUAGGAGUUAAUUUUUCAUUUUAAGAAUUAUUUAGUAAUUAAGUGGUUUUAUAAAAGGAAAAUCACAAAAAUGGUCAUUUUGCCCUUUUAAUUUUAAUUCGGAUCUUGAGUAGUUUUUCUUUAAUUUAUUAAUUGUGGUAAUUAAUUUUCUAAGAUAUUUGGUUUAGGAAUUAAUUUAGUUUUAUUUUUAGUUUUAAAUUAAAAGAAAUUAGAAAAAUUGAACAAAAACAGAGAGAAACAAAGAGUGUAAAGUCAUAUUUGGGCCAAGUCCUUAAUUUUUUUACCCAAGCCCAAAUGUUUCCUCCCAUACCCGUUUUAAUACCCGCUCAGAUCCGGCCCAACUCCACACCACACCCACUUCACCCCAUCUAGUGACCAAACGACACCGUUUUAAUUACCUUUGAUCUGGACCGUUGAUUUCCUUGGAUCAAACAGUCCGGAACUAAGGGUAUCCUUAGUAUAUUAUGGUCCUAACCUCACUACCCCCCCAAACCCCGUCUCUCAUCUCUUUCAUCUCCCUUUCAGAGAACUCCCACGAAACCCUAAAUCGCCACCCCAGUUUCCACCGCCUCGAGCCCGGCGACGCCACCACCAGUCAGCCUCAAAUCGAUACCCUAGAACCCUCUCACUUACCUCGCUCUAAAUCCCCACCCCAUUACCCUCAAAUCUUGCAAGAGCACUUCGAAUAUUAAAUCCGAGUUCGAGCUCUAAAAGUUCGAAACCAAUCCCUAUCGAAUCUGGUGGCAUGCAUCAACUCAAGCCUUUGUUUUUCAUGAUUUAAAGGUUGACUCACUAGUCACUACAAAGCUGAUGUUGUUCGUUUGUUCUUAACAGAGAACAAGUGAUUAGCAUCAAUUUUGUGUGAAUCAGGGCAUCAAAUGUAACAUCGAGCUCGAUCGGUGAGUUUCUAUCCAUCUGCGUGUCCAGUUGUGUUUUAGUUCACUUUUCGUCCCUCUUCUCCUUUUCUCUGUGUGAAAACUUGACCAAUUUUCUGAUGUUUUGAAUUGUUUUCUGUUCCCUCUAUUUUUCUUUCAAGUCAUUUUUCUUUAAAAAAAUGUGUUUGUUCUUGACCUGUUGAGUUUUUAUUAAUGUUAUAGUCAAGCCUCUGAUUUUCUCCCGUUUUUUGUUAGCCUCAUUAGUUUAAUUUAAUUAGGUUAUUCUGAUUUAUUAAUUGGAUUAGUUAAUUCCUUGCUUAUUUGUGUCAAUCAAUUUAGUUUUUAGAAAUCGUUUGUGUGUUCUUUUUUGUUACUAAUUUGGUUGGGUUUAUUUAGUUGUUUGGGCUUUGGGUCUGACCCAUUUACAAAAGAAGGGCAUCCCGUUCACUUAGUUAAACCGUUGGGUCAACUCGACCCAUGACCCAUUUGAGUUCCUGGAGGAGGAAUUUUCAGAGGUUUAAAGGGUAGUUUGGGGUAUUUGCUUAGGGGAAUCUUUGUAUAACUAAUUAGGAAGCUUCUUAGAAGCUGACUUUGGGAUUGUUUGGAAACUCUGAAAACUAAAUAGGGAUAUAUAGGCAAAAAUGAAAACAUGAAAAAGACUCAAAUGAAAAUCUGAUUUCCCUAGCGCUGCCCUAUUUUCUUGCCUAUACAGGCACCUUUUCUUGAAGCUCAAGUCAGACUUGAAAAGAGAAAAAAUUCUGGAAAAAUUGAAACGGCUAACUCUAAAAACAAUACUGAAUUCGCUGCAUUUUUGGUUGGAAAUUGUUCAAAAUUUGGUUUGGUUGCUGGAUUUCUGAACUUUCCCAUUAGCUAGAACCCUUGAAAACCAUAAAUUCUUGCAUUCGAGUGAAAAAUGGUCUGAGUUUCUGGGAUUUCAAAACUUAUUUUGGGAGUUGUCCGGUUUUGAGUCUACUGUUCCAUUGAAGCUAAUUCUGUUGUGAUUUUCCCCUCUAUUUGAGUCUGUUACUGUUGUUGCUUCUGUUCUGAUCUCAACUCAGUUUUCCAUUCUUUUGUUUUGUCGUUUGUUACCAGGUACAUAUUCUUGAUCUUAAACAUGUAAUGACUGGCUCAUGUGGUGUUUUGAAGAAAAGGAAGAUUGAUGUUUUUUAUCAGAUGUUUCCUUCUUUAUUUCUUUUCUCGCUCAACUUAUUGGUUCAAUUUCAUUGUCUUAGCAUGUCUAAAGUAAGGUUGUGCUGUGAACGUUGAGACCUACAUUGAAAUUGUAAUUGGACUGUUAUUCAGUACUUGCUGAUUUCCAUUUGUUUUAAUUCCCUAGGCUUUAUUAUUGUUAGAAGAGUUAAUCGAUUUUAAGUUCUCGGAUGUGUUUGUAAGUUC